AUUGAACGCUGGCGGCAGGCCUAACACAUGCAAGUCGAGCGAGCGGCGGAAGGGAGAGUAAUGCCUGGGAAUUGCCCAGUCGAGGGCGAUAACAGUUGGACACGACUGCUAAUACCGCAAAGGAUUGGAUCGCCCAGGUGGGAUUAGCUAGUGGGUGAGGGACUGGCUCCCCAAGGCGACGAUCCCUAGCUGGUCUGAGAGGAUGAUCAGCCACAAUGUAACUGAGACACUGUCCAGACUCAUACGUGAGGCAGCAGUGGGUAAUAUUGCACAAUGGGGGAAACCCUGAUGCAGCCAUGCCGCGUGUGUGAAGAAGGCCUUCGGGUUGUAAAGCACUUUCAGCGAGGAGGCGUUACUCGCAGAAGAAGCACCGGCUAACUCCGUGCCAGCAGCCGCGGUAAUUC
rnacentral:rRNA from 1 species